GAGUUUGAUCCUGCCUCAGGAUGAACGCUAGCGGCAGGCUUAACACAUGCAAGUCGAACGGUAACAUUGGUGCUUGCACCAGAUGACGAGUGGCGAACGGGUGCGUAACGCGUAUACAACCUACCUCUUAUUAAGGAAUAGCUCAGAGAAAUUUGAAUUAAUACCUUAUAAUAUCUUAAAGCCGCAUGGUUUAAAGAUUAAAGAAUUUCGAUAAGAGAUGGGUAUGCGUGAUAUUAGCUAGUUGGUAAGGUAACGGCUUACCAAGGCAACGAUAUCUAGGGGGUCUGAGAGGAUGAUCCCCCACACUGGUACUGAGACACGGACCAGACUCCUACGGGAGGCAGCAGUGAGGAAUAUUGGACAAUGGGCGAAAGCCUGAUCCAGCCAUGCCGCGUGAAGGAUGAAUGCCCUAUGGGUUGUAAACUUCUUUUAUAUAGGAAGAAACCUCUGGAUUUAUCCAGAGCUGACAUUACUAUAAGAAUAAGCAUCGGCUAACUCCGUGCCAGCAGCCGCGGUAAUACGGAGGAUGCAAGCGGUAAUCGGAAUUACUGGGCGUAAAGCGCGCGUAGGUGGUUUAGUAAGUUGGGUGUGAAAUCCCCGGGCUUAACCUGGGAACUGCAUUCAAAACUGCUGGACUAGAGUACGAUAGAGGGGGGUAGAAUUUCAGGUGUAGCGGUGAAAUGCGUAGAGAUCUGAAGGAAUACCGGUGGCGAAGGCGGCCCCCUGGAUUGAUACUGACACUGAGGUGCGAAAGCGUGGGUAGCAAACAGGAUUAGAUACCCUGGUAGUCCACGCCGUAAACGAUGUCAACUAGCUGUUGGAGGACUUGAUCCUUUAGUGGCGCAGCUAACGCGUUAAGUUGACCGCCUGGGGAGUACGGCCGCAAGGUUAAAACUCAAAUGAAUUGACGGGGGCCCGCACAAGCGGUGGAGCAUGUGGUUUAAUUCGAUGCAACGCGAAGAACCUUACCUACUCUUGACAUCCUGAGAAUCUUGUAGAGAUACGAGAGUGCCUUCGGGAAUUCAGUGACAGGUGCUGCAUGGCUGUCGUCAGCUCGUGUCGUGAGAUGUUGGGUUAAGUCCCGUAACGAGCGCAACCCUUGUCCUUAGUUGCCAGCACAUUAUGGUGGGAACUCUAAGGAGACUGCCGGUGACAAACCGGAGGAAGGUGGGGACGACGUCAAGUCAUCAUGGCCCUUACGGCCUGGGCUACACACGUGCUACAAUGGCCAGGACAAACGGCUGCAACCCCGCGAGGGUGAGCUAAUCCGAGAAACCUGGUCGUAGUCCGGAUCGCAGUCUGCAACUCGACUGCGUGAAGUCGGAAUCGCUAGUAAUCGCGAAUCAGAAUGUCGCGGUGAAUACGUUCCCGGGCCUUGUACACACCGCCCGUCACACCAUGGGAGUGGGUUGCAAAAGAAGUGGCUAGUCUAACCUUCGGGAGGACGGUCACCACUUUGUGAUUCAUGACUGGGGUGAAGUCGUAACAAGGUAACC
rnacentral:rRNA from 1 species